UAAUUAGCAUUCCUUUUAACCCUUUUCAGCAUGGUGUACUUGAAAUAAGCAAGCAUGUACUUCUUUUAGUAUUUUUCUAUAAAUUUUACAAUUUUUGUUUAUCAUUAACGAAAAUGAAGUUUCAGAAUAAUUCGUUCACUCUAAAUUAGAGGGAUUACAAGGUAAUAUAUAAACAAGCUGUACAAGAAACAAAAUAGGAAACUAAAUCAGGUCUGAUCCUAGACAUGUACAGUUCCUAGAAUUACUCCAAAAUCUAAGAUUAGCUUAAAAUGCAGAACACAAUCAGAUAAGAGAAAAUAAUGGAGAAAUAUAAUUGGAUCUGCAAAGUCAACCACAUAUUUUAACAUUCCCCCUCAAGAUGAGACAUAGAUAUAAUGCAUUCCUAGCUUGCCAGCAACAUAAUUAAACAUGAUACUUGUUGAUUCCUUUUGUAAAAAUAUCUUCUAACUAUUGUUUGGUAGUCACAAAAGGUGUAGAAAUCAUUCCAGUUUCAAUUUUCUCCUUUAUGAAAUGCCUAUACACCUCAACAUGUUCAGUUCAAUCAUGUUGAACUAGAUUUUGUGCAAUGCUGAUGAUUGCUUUAUCAUCACAAUAAAUCUUCACUGAGUCUUUAGGCUCCAUAUUCAAUUCUUUAAGUAGGAUCUUAAUCCACAUUACUUCACAUUACUUCACACUUCAAUGCUUGAUCUAGCUAAAAUAGACUGUUUUUUCACUCCUCCAUGUCAUAAGAUUUUCUCCCAUAAAAGUGCCAUAACUUGAUGUUGAUCUUCGAUCUUUGUUGGAACUUAACUAAUCUACAUUUGUGUAUGCUUCAACAAGAAGACAAUCAUUUUUAGGGACUUUGUGAAUAUCUCAAACCAUGCUUUAGGUGAUUGCUUGAGCCCAUACAAGGACUUCUUUAUCUUACACACCUUCUUAUUGUUGGAUAAGUCCUCAAACCUUGGUGGAAGGUCCAUGUGUACUUCUUCCAAAUUCCCAUGCAAAAAUGAAUUUUUCACAUUAAAUUGUUGAAGAUAUUAGUCUAGAUUAACAACUAGAGAUAAAAGGAUUCUAAUGGAAUUUGUUUUUGGCACAUGACUGAAUGUCUCUUGAUAAUCAAUUCAAAGAGUUUGCAUAUACUCCUUUGCUACCAAUUUAGCUCUAUGUCUCUUUAUUGAACCAUGCCUAUCAAAAAAAAAAAAAUGUCUCUCUAUUGAACCAUAGCUCUAUGUCUCUCUAUAAUUUUCUCUCCUUUUUUUCUUGUCUCUUGUUUUUUUCUCUUCAGCUUUUAGGCAUAUAGAGUCAGACCUUAAGGCUGACUUGAGCUGUUGCUGCUGGGUCAGUCAGAUUUGAGAAGAAUCAGGUCAUUUAUGACUGGAUAUAUAACAGAAGAGGGUUGACAUAAGGAGUAGGAUAGGUCUUCAACUCUAGUUUUCUCCCCUUGAAGAUUUGUCUUAGGAUAGUAUGAGAUAUCUUCAAAAAAUUUAACAUCCAUAAUCACAAAAAAUUUCUUUGUUGGAGGAUGGAAACAUUUGUACUGUUUUUGUGUAUAGGAGAGUAGCCUAAGAAUAUACAUCUAAGAGCUCUACGAUUAAGUUUAGACCUUUCUUGACUUUGAAUAUGGACAAAUGCAACACAUCCAAAUAUUUUAAGAGGAAGAGAAUCAAAGAGAUUUACAUUAGGAAAAUGACACUAUAAGAACAUAAACUGGAAUUUCAUCUCAAUGGCUUUGGAUGACAUAUGAUUAAUAAGAUAGGCAGCAAUUAACAUAACAUCAAUGAAGUAGAUUUUGGGGAUAUUUUUUGUAAACAUUGAAGCUCUAACUAACUCAAGUAAAUGCCUAUUUUUCCUCCCAUCUGCUCCAUUUUGCUGAGGUGUAUCAUUGCAAGAUGAGUGAUGUAUGAUCCCAUUUUCAAGUAGAUAUCAAUCUAGAAUGGUAUUGAAAAUACUCUUGCCCAUUAUUAGUCCUUAACACUUUGAUUUUGGUAUGGAAUUGGGUUUGGAUCAUCUUAUGAAAUGUUUUAGAGGAAGGUGUAGCUUCUGAUUUUUUCCUUAGAAGGUAGAUCCAUGUUAUUCUAGUGUAAUCAUCAAUAAAACUAACGGAACAUUUAUAACUUGAAUAAGAAGUAACCUGAGAUGGUCCCCAUACGUCACUAUGAAUCACAGAGAAAUGAAUUUCAAAUUUUCUAUUGCUUAAAGGAAAAUGAACAUGAUGACUCAUAGACAACUUGUAAACUUGACAUUGAAAUUUGGAAAGUUCAAAAUCAACAAAUAAUUCAAGAACUAGUAAUUUAAGAGACAAAGUUUGGUUGACCAAAUAUAUAAUGUUGCAGCCAAAUCUCCUUUUCUUCAUUAUCAACAAUCUUUGAAAGAUGAGCCUGUGUAGUUUUCUUGGCUUCGAGAGUUAGAUUGUUGGGAAUACCAGAUUGCUUCGUUUCCUAGCCCUGGAUCUAGUAGGGUGCAUGAUAUCUACCCUAGGUUUCUCUAAAUCUAAAAAAAUGGAAGAUAUGACAUCAAAAAACCAUUAUAGUAAUUAGAAAUAGAGAAUAAAAGCAAUAUACCUUUGAUCUGGAUGUUCUCAGAUCGUUUCCAAGCUGAUAGAGUAGUCGAAGAAGAAUCUAAAACUAUAAAAAGCAUUGUGUGCUUUGUCUACCCGGUGUUCUUCCACUCGAUCUCUUCUCACAUAAAACUAGACAUGAGGAAAGUGUGAGCUUUUCUCUCUAUAGGGUGGCUAGGGUUUCUCUCUAAAGGCUCUCUUUGGAAGAAGACAGACAAAAGUCUAGAACCUUAACCCCUAAGAGGGUAUUUAUAAGGCUUCCAAUGGGCUUAGGGCACCUAAUCCAACCCACUUGGGUCUUAAUUAAUUAAUUAGCCUUAUUUGACUCAAUUAAUUAAUUAGCUCGAUCUAUAAAGACAAUUCAUGAGAUCUAGUGCAACGUUGCACUUUUACCAAAAUAUCCUUAUGCACACUUAUGAACCUGAAAUCCCUCAAAACAAGUGUGCCACCAUGAAUUAUGAGCUUGAGCAAGGACUACUAGUAUCAGGACUCAUAGAAAAAUACUAGCUCCCUCUAAAGAGAAUCAACUACACUCCAGUAUCCUAUGUAAUUACAACAAGGCGAAGCUUAGGUCUAUGCCCUAUUAUCCAUUGCAUGCUGACAAGGUAGUGUUAUCACCUAUCAAGAUUACCUCUUCAAUCCUUGAGUUACAAAUCUACCUAUUAUGUGAUCAAUUGACAUACUCUAGCCCCAAAGAGCAUAUGUCAAAUUUUUGCUAAAGGAAAUGUUAUGGCCAUUAUGGAGAAAAAUUGUAUUUCUCAUUCAUAUUUUAAAAGUAUACAACCCUAGGAAAAUAAAGAAUAAGGAAAGAAUUAGAAAGUACUCUAUUAAAUAUCCUCACAAAUCAGAUUAUAUACAGAAAUAUACACACGAAGCUAUACACACACUCAAUUAUAUGUUACAAUUGUAAUAUACAGUUGUAGAGGAUAUAUAGCUGUGCAUAUAGUUGUAAUAAUCUUUAACAUGAGGAUAUACAACUGUGUGUACAAUUAUAAUAAUUUUCAAUACUCCUCUUCAAGUUGGUCAAUAAAUAUUAUUCAUUCCACCUUGAUCAUGAUUUCUUGAAAUUAGACAUUGUCUAAUCCUUUUGUUAUGACAUCAGCUAAUUGACCUCCAAGGGACCCAUAUGGCGUACAAAUUAAGUCACUAUCGAACUUCUCCUUAAUAAAAUGUCUGUCUACUUCCACAUGCUUGGUUUUGUCAUGUUGUACCAAGUUAUAUGCAAUGUUAAUGACCGACUUAUUGUUGCAAUAAAGUCUCAUUGGUGUUUUCCACUUAAUCUUAAAGUCCUUCAAGAUAAUCUUGAGCCAAAUCAACUCACAGGUUCCUUGAGUCAUUGCACGAAACUCUACUUUAAUACUAGAUCUUGCAACAACAUUCUAUUUCUUACUCCUCCGAGUUACUAAGUUCCCUCCAAGAAAAGUCUAAUAUGUUGUAGUAAACCUUCGAUCAACAAUUGAUUUUGCAUAAUUUGCAUCAGUAUAGGCCUCUAAUGAUAGCUCAAUGCUUUUCGUAAACAAAAUUCCUUUUCUUGGAGUUGCUCUUAGCUAGUGGAGGAUUGUGUAUCUAGUAUGUGGAUGAACUUCUUUCGGGUUAUGCAUAAAUUGACUCACUAGACUGAUUUCAUAGGCUAUGUUUGGUUGUGUAUUGAGAGGUAGAUCAGCCUACCGACCAAUUUUUGGUACAUACCCUUGUCUACAGCUGCAUCCUCACUUGCUUCUCCAAGCUUAUGAUUCGGAUCAAUUGGUGUAUCAGUCGGUUUACAUCCUAUUUUUCCUAUCUCCUGCAAUAAGUUAAGAACAUACUUCUGUUGGGAGACAAAAAUUCCCCUUUUUGAGUGUGCCACUUCAAUUCCUAAUAAAUACUUUAGUCUUCUAAGCUCCUUUAUUUCAAACACUUUUGCUAAACCUCUUCAAUGCUUCUUUUUCUUUAAGAUCAUUUCCAAUCAUUAUUAUAUCAUCCACAUAAACCAAUAAGGUAGUUACUCCCCCUGAGGUCGAGUGUUUAACAUGUAAGGUGUGGUCGCCGUGGUUUUGUUUAUAGCCAACAAUUAUCAUGACUUUAGCAAAUCUUCCAAACCAAGCCCGUGGAGAUUGUUUUAGCCCAUACAAUGCUUUCUUCAAUUUACAUACCUUUUUUUCCUUUCAAGUGCAUGUUAAAACCAAGUGGCAGAUCCAUAUAAAUUUCUUCUUUGAGCUUUCCAUGUAAGAAUGCAUUUUUCACAUCAAAUUGUUGUAAUUCCUAGUCAAAUUGGGCAGCCAAAGAGAGUAAAACUCUCACAAUGUUCAUCUUAGCUACUGGUGCAAAAGUCUCUUGGUAAUCUACUCCAUACGUCUGAGUAUAGCCUUUGGUAAUGAGUCUGACUUUUUAUCUCUCAAGAGAACCAUCCACCUUGUACUCUAUUGUGAACACCCACUUGCACUCUACUGCAACUUACUAGACACAAAAUACAACUUACUAAACAUAAUAAAUAAAGUUUGGUCUUUGUUCUUCCGUUGCACAUGACUGCCACUUUGGUAGUGCAUUGUACUCCAGGGCAAAAAGAACUUGCCCAUGAGUUUGUAUCUAAUUCUUUAUAACAGUCUGAAAAAUCUUAAAUAUUAAAAGUAGGAUGAGCUUGAAUAUUUGUAAUUCAAUUUUGGUUCUAAAGCAUUUGAACUGGUGAAUCUGACUCCUUGCACCUUGCCUUCUAAAGCACAGAUGAGUGACGAGACUGGAUAUGCAGCAUCCCAUUUUAGACCUGUUAUCUUUAGUAAAAGACAAUUGACUAGAUACACUGCUAGUCAAGGACCACUCUGCUACUUCAGACAAGUCAUGUAUGGAUCAGCCAUCAGAAUCAAUGCAAUCCAUCUCAUAAAGCAACUGCAACCUUCUGGAAGGAAAAAUCUUCAGACUUCCAAGCAAAACAAUACGUAUAUUUCACUUGGAAAAAUCCCCCUGAUUGACUGCGCAUAAGAUCUCCUUUCACCACACAACUAGCUAGAUUGAUUAUUACUAACUAUUAUUGUACAAUCAUUUCUUAAUUCUCAGAGGGUUUUUCUUUCUUUCUUUCUUUCUUUUUUUU